rnacentral:rRNA from 1 species
GAUGAACGCUGGCGGCGUGCCUAAUACAUGCAAGUCGAGCGAACGGACGAGAAGCUUGCUUCUCUGAUGUUAGCGGCGGACGGGUGAGUAACACGUGGAUAACCUACCUAUAAGACUGGGAUAACUUCGGGAAACCGGAGCUAAUACCGGAUAAUAUUUUGAACCGCAUGGCUCAAAAGUGAAAGACGGUCUUGCUGUCACUUAUAGAUGGAUCCGCGCUGCAUUAGCUAGUUGGUAAGGUAACGGCUUACCAAGGCAACGAUGCAUAGCCGACCUGAGAGGGUUAUCGGCCACACUGGAACUGAGACACGGUCCAGACUCCUACGGGAGGCAGCAGUAGGGAAUCUUCCGCAAUGGGCGAAAGCCUGACGGAGCAACGCCGCGUGAGUGAUGAAGGUCUUCGGAUCGUAAAACUCUGUUAUUAGGGAAGAACAUAUGUGUAAGUAACUGUGCACAUCUUGACGGUACCUAAUCAGAAAGCCACGGCUAACUACGUG